rnacentral:rRNA from 1 species
GAGUUGGGAUGUGCCGAGUUUCCGCUCCCUACCCCUGUGAACAUACCAAUUGUUGCCUCGGCGGAUCAGCCCGCUCCCGGUAAAACGGGACGGCCCGCCAGAGGACCCCUAAACUCUGUUUCUAUAUGUAACUUCUGAGUAAAACCAUAAAUAAAUCAAAACUUUCAACAACGGAUCUCUUGGUUCUGGCAUCGAUGAAGAACGCAGCAAAAUGCGAUAAGUAAUGUGAAUUGCAGAAUUCAGUGAAUCAUCGAAUCUUUGAACGCACAUUGCGCCCGCCAGUAUUCUGGCGGGCAUGCCUGUUCGAGCGUCAUUUCAACCCUCAAGCCCCCGGGUUUGGUGUUGGGGAUCGGCGAGCCCUUGCGGCAAGCCGGCCCCGAAAUCUAGUGGCGGUCUCGCUGCAGCUUCCAUUGCGUAGUAGUAAAACCCUCGCAACUGGUACGCGGCGCGGCCAAGCCGUUAAACCCCCAACUUCUGAAUGUUGACCUCGGAUCAGUAGGAAUACCCGCUGAACUUAAGCAUAUCAUUAAGCGGAGAA